GGUUCGUCGUCGGACAGUCUAGAGAGUAGUUCGAGUCCGUGACUCGAGACACGCUGGCGGCGUGCCUAACACAUGCAAGUCGAGCGAUGAAGUUUCUUCGGGAACGGAUUAGCGGCGGACGGGUGAGUAACACGUGGGUAACCUGCCUUAUAGAGGGAAUAGCCUUCCGAAAGGAAGAUUAAUACCGCAUAAAGUUGUUGAUUCGCAUGAAUCGAUAACCAAAGGAGCAAUCCGCUAUAAGAUGGACCCGCGGCGCAUUAGCUAGUUGGUGAGGUAAUGGCUCACCAAGGCGACGAUGCGUAGCCGACCUGAGAGGGUGAUCGGCCACAUUGGGACUGAGACACGGCCCAGACUCCUACGGGAGGCAGCAGUGGGGAAUAUUGCACAAUGGGGGAAACCCUGAUGCAGCAACGCCGCGCGAGUGAUGAAGGCCUUCGGGUUGUAAAGCUCUGUCUUUGGGGACGAUAAUGACGGUACCCAAGGAGGAAGCCACGGCUAACUACGUG
rnacentral:rRNA from 1 species